CUUGCCAGGGAACUACGAGCCCCAGCUUAAAACCCAAAGGACUUGGCGGUGCUUUAGACCCCCCUAGAGGAGCCUGUUCUAGAACCGAUAACCCCCGUUCAACCUCACCCUCUCUUGUUUAACCCGCCUAUAUACCGCCGUCGUCAGCUUACCCUAUGAAGGAUGCACAGUAAGCAGAAUUGGUACAACCCAAAACGCCAGGUCGAGGUGUAGCGUACGAGAGGGGAAGAAAUGGGCUACAUUCACUGAACCAGUGAACAACGGACGAUGCCUUGAAAUAAACAUCUAAAGGAGGAUUUAGCAGUAAGAGGAGAAACAGAGAGUCCCUCUGAAACUGGCCCUGAAGCGCGCACACACCGCCAGUCACUCUCCCCAAAACAAACAUAAGCAUAAAUAAGAAGAAAUAAAAAUAAAGGGGAGGCAAGUCGUAACAUGGUAAGUGUACCGGAAGGUGCACUUGGAAAAAC
rnacentral:rRNA from 1 species